CCGGCGACUUCGCCCAUCCCGUCGUGCGCCAGCGGCCACCGUGCCUCGCACGGAAGGACGAGGGCGCUCACCGGGAGGAUGGACGGAGCGGAGAGGCGCGCUUGCGCCAGAGCUCAUGUUCCCACGCCUCGCGCCUCCUUGCACCGCUCGGGCAGCCCCUCGCCACCCGCCAUCGCCGGCGACCACCAGCAGCACCCGUCGCGCCUCUCCGCGCGCCACUCGGAGGCCCCAGCCAGGCCGCGCAGCCGUCCUCCACAACCCCGGCCUCCUCCUCGACCUCGCCUCUCCGUGCGACAACCGGCGUCGCCGCCGGCGGCCACGGGUCCAGCGUCGCCUUCGUCCUCCACCUCCUCCUAAAGCGCGCGUUCACCGCGGGCGCUGGCGGUGGCGCGGCGGUCCUCGCUGCCAAUGUCGCUGAACUGAAUCGUCAGCCAUCUCGGCCACGUCUUUCAGCACGCAGCCGGCGAAUCCAUUCAGCAGCUCCUGGGCAAACAGCUUUGACCCCCGUUAACACGUUAUGAGUAUCCAUGGCCUCUUCUUCUAUUUCUUCAGUGCUACCAUCUUGCUCGUCAGAGGAAACCGGUGGAGCUUCUGCUGCAUCUUCCUGACACUGGUCCUCAACCAGCUUGUUUUGCUCUUCUUUCUGAUGAUCUAUGGCCUGCUUUCCAUUUGUUGAGUGGGUACAGUAGUCUUCAUAUCAUCACCUAAUUGAUUGCAAACAAAAUUCUCAUCACUUUCAGAUACGACAGUCAAGACACAUAAUGCGGGACACUGCAACUACAGAAAGGCAUGGGACACGCACCAAUUUAAGUCCAUGUCAGGGGCAUCACCUGUCUCACGUUCGCAGGAGGAAGAAGCUCCGAGUUCGCCGGAGGUACACAAACAUCCGUCGAGCACUCCAAUGUCGCCUACGGCGUCUACACCAGAGGUGCCAAAGGCGUCUCAGGUGGAGGCGAAGGAGGUUCUUCUAAUUCCUAAGGCACCAGACUGGACAUUCCUAUGUUGACUACCAUUUAUGGUCAAUAAAGUUGUCCGUGUUUGUUUUUGAUUGCUCAACUAAAUAUCUGAAGCCAAAUGAUGUAUGCAUUCAUGUUUCUCUUCUAAGGCACAAAGACUGGACA